AACGAACGUUGGCGGCGUGGAUUAGGCAUGCAAGUCGAACGAAUCCCAGUGGGGGUAACUCUGCUGGGGGAAGUGGCGAAAGGGGCAGUAAUGCGUGGAUAACCUGCCCCCGAGACGGGGAUAGCCCUCCUAACGGAGGGGUAAUACCCGGAGACCUGGCGGGGAGGCAUCUCUUUGCCAGCAAAGGAGUUUCGCUCGGGGAGGGGUUCACGUGCUAUUAGCUAGUUGGCGGGGUAACGGCCCACCAAGGCGUAGAUGGCUAGCGGGUGUGAGAGCACGACCCGCGCCACUGGCACUGAGACACUGGCCAGACUCCUACGGGAGGCUGCAGUCGAGGAUCUUCGGCAAUGGGCGCAAGCCUGACCGAGCGACGCCGCGUGCGCGAUGAAGGCCUUCGGGUUGUAAAGCGCUGUCGAGGGGGAGGAAAACCCGCAAGGGUCUGACCUAUCCCUGGAGGAAGCACGGGCUAAGUUCGUGC
rnacentral:rRNA from 1 species